rnacentral:rRNA from 1 species
GACUGACACUCCGUACGGGAGGCAGCAGUGGGGAAUAUUGCACAAUGGGCGCAAGCCUGAUGCAGCCAUGCCGCGUGUGUGAAGAAGGCCUUCGGGUUGUAAAGCACUUUCAGUUGUGAGGAAGGUGGUGUCGUUAAUAGCGGCAUCAUUUGACGUUAGCAACAGAAGAAGCACCGGCUAACUCCGUGCCAGCAGCCGCGGUAAUACGGAGGGUGCGAGCGUUAAUCGGAAUUACUGGGCGUAAAGCGCAUGCAGGUGGUUUGUUAAGUCAGAUGUGAAAGCCCCGGGGCUCAACCUCGGAACUGCAUUUGAAACUGGCAGACUAGAGUACUGUAGAGGGGGUAGAAUUUCAGGUGUAGCGGUGAAAUGCGUAGAGAUCUGAAGGAAUACCGGUGGCGAAGGCGGCCCCCUGGACAGAUACUGACACUCAGAUGCGAAAGCGUGGGGAGCAAACAGGAUUAGACACCCUGGGAG